AUCUCUCUUUACCAACACCACACUGCUACCAGACCUAAGCGGUUGAGAGCCCUGAGAAAGGCAACCCUGAAAAGCAGGAAGUAAAUUUCAGACUUCAUUUGGGUGAUGAUUAUGUUGCUGACAAAAGAAAUGUUACCUUCUUUCUUCAUUCCUGCUCGAAAACACUUUUUUAAACGACAAUAUCUACACUGAUUCCUCUUGUCUUUGUCAACAACACACUGUCGGCUGAACCUAUUUCACCAAGAAAAAGAUGAUAAAUUAUUUAUUCUUCUAGAUGAAAAAUUACAGAAGUUGGACAUAAUUUUUUCAUUGUUGCUACUGCUAAAUAAUCUCAUGUAGAUUAUAAUAUCAUGCACAUUAUUCAUCACUACAUGUAUUGAGAUGCCAUGAUCAUCAUCAUGAAAAGCAACAUGGAAGAAUAGAAAAUGCAGUAGCUUUGGAGUCAGAGGACAUGGAUUCGAAUUUUGCCCUGUUACUAAUUGAAUCACCUUCAUCAAGUUACUUAAUGUCUAUGCAUCUCAGUUUACAUAUGUAAAAUGCAAGGGUUGGUCUAGAUGGCAAAAAAGGUCCUGAACAGCUCUAAUUCUAUUAUCUUGUGAUAAAAAUGAAUUAUAUUUUCACAGAAAUUCAGAGUUUUAACUGUUUCAUAUUUACAGAAUGAAGUGCAGAAAAACAAUGGAGAAUUUUAGGAUCAUCUC